UGAUGGCAUUUUCGUAAAUUAUAUGAACUUGUGGGGUGAAUAGGGCAAAACCAAUUUUCAAAAAAAAAGAGGUUAGUUUUGUGUUUGACUUUAAGUUAUAGGUCAAUUCUGCAAAAAGUCCUAAUCAUGACUAGUAAAGUUUUUGAGAGCUAUAGGCGGUUUAGUAAAGAUUUAUACAAUUUUAAAAAUAAAUUCGGAAGCUUAUUUUAUAAAUAUUUUUUUUCUAAUUUUGUGGUUGAUAGGCUAAUGCUUCACUUGCAUCUAAUGCUUCACUUGCAUCGAAUGCUUCACUUGCAUAUACUCAGUACGAUGACAUGCGCUAGUAAUAAUAAACCAUCUUGAUUCAGACACAUGCAUAUAAGAGCAGGUUUAUCCAUGGCUCUUAAGAAGGUUGCUUAGGUUAUUUAGGAUUAAAGUAAGAGAAAAAAAACAUUGACUCAAGAUGCGUCCCUUAAUUAAGAGAAGGAAGGCACGUAUCUUAGUAAAAACGUGUCACAAAACUAGUGGAUGAAGGAUUUUCUUCUCUCGGUGUUUCUUCUUCUAUUCUCCUCUCCUCCCGAUCUGCAUCUCCGCCAACGACUCCGAUCAAAAUCAAUCAGGUUCCCUCUCUCUUCCUUCUCAUCACUGAUCUAUACUAUGAUUCAGAUUAUUCCCUCAAAUCGCAUUUUCUUUAGAUUUUCUCGAUUCAAUCCAAUUUCUCUUACUCUGUUGCUCAAAGCAUGAUCUUUUCUUAUUGUUUAUGGUUUGGAUUCCGGCGAAACUCAACGAGGGUGGUGCGGUUAGAGGCCGUGGAGGCGAAGAGAGGAAGAAAGGUUUGGGCUUUGUUAAAGGAGAAGUCAGAAAAGACGCCAUUGUCGACUUGAUAGCCGAGGAGAAGAAGAAGAGAGUUAAACCCUACAUAUACAUAUAAAUGAAGGAGAGCUGGAGCCUGAGCCUGAGUCGCAACCAGAGACUGUAUCUGAGACUACUGUUGGUGAUCAGAUGUGCUGUUACCGAUUGGUGGACAGGAUACGAAUCAGCCUAUGGGUUUGCCAGUCCGUUCUGGAAGUGUUCAGGUUCGCGUUCGUUUAACCACAACCCAAGCUGGUAGUAGCUCUAAGGCAGUAGAUAGGCUUGAGAAACAGUUGAGUUUCCAGAAAAGUGUUGAUGUUAGAUCAGCAAGUCCAAGAACGGGCUCUCUCGAAAAUGGUUCUAAGCUCCAUGCCGAGAAGAAAAAGCCAUGGACUUUUUUGGUGGUAGCAUCCUCCGGGGUAAGUGGCAUGAACGCUGGUGGGGAUGAAUCUGUUGAGAUUGUAAUAAGAUACAUUCUCUCUGAUUCGAUGCAUGUGAUGACCAAGAGGUUUCAAGAGAUGCUCAUGCGAUAAAUAUCGGUGUGAUAAAAGUGUUGGAACAGCAUCAACAAACAGUUUCAGGUCAGUAAUGGUGGUGUAUUUGUUUCUCCGCCAAUUGUGUACGAGCCUAUUUCAUUGGAGAGCAUUUAGAAAUGUGGUAUUUAGAAAUGUGAUGCUCAGGUUGUUCUCUGGGAGGAAGAGGAUCCCAUUUAUCACAAACUCUUGUUCUCUUUCAUGUUUUUCCUUUUGUUUAUCAAUCACAAUCUUAAACAUUUUUUCUA